rnacentral:rRNA from 1 species
GCUGACGAGUGGCGGACGGGUGAGUAAUGUCUGGGAAACUGCCUGAUGGAGGGGGAUAACUACUGGAAACGGUAGCUAAUACCGCAUAACGUCGCAAGACCAAAGAGGGGGACCUUCGGGCCUCUUGCCAUCGGAUGUGCCCAGAUGGGAUUAGCUAGUAGGUGGGGUAACGGCUCACCUAGGCGACGAUCCCUAGCUGGUCUGAGAGGAUGACCAGCCACACUGGAACUGAGACACGGUCCAGACUCCUACGGGAGGCAGCAGUG